rnacentral:rRNA from 1 species
UACGGAGGGUGCAAGCGUUAUCCGGAUUCACUGGGUUUAAAGGGUGCGUAGGUGGGCAGGUAAGUCAGUGGUGAAAUCUCCGGGCUUAACUCGGAAACUGCCAUUGAUACUAUUUGUCUUGAAUACCGUGGAGGUCAGCGGAAUAUGUCAUGUAGCGGUGAAAUGCUUAGAUAUGACAUAGAACACCAAUUGCGAAGGCAGCUGGCUACACGAAUAUUGACACUGAUGCACGAAAGCGUGGGGAUCAAACAGG